rnacentral:rRNA from 1 species
AUGCCGGCGCGCAAAGCACCCGGACCAGACGGCUUCACCGCGGAGUUCCUGCGCGCCUGCUGGAGCAUCAUUCGCCAAGACAUCUGGGAUGUUUUCGAGCUGCUAUACACUCUGCAUGGGCGCGGGUUCAGCAAACUCAACCAAGCGCUGCUGACCUUGCUGCCCAAACGCGCGGAUGCCCACAAGCUCGCUGACUAUCGACCGAUCUAUCUGAUCCACAUAGUGGCCAAGAUCUUCGCAAAGGUCCUAUCAUUGCGCCUCGCUCCCAAGCUCGACACCCUUGUCAGCCGCAACCAAAACGCGUUCAUCGCCGGACGUAGCCUCCACGACAACUUCACUCUGGUCCGGCAAUCCCUCAAGAUGCUGCAUCAACUUGGCGCGCCCAGGAUCAUGCUCAAACUCGACCUCACACGUGCCUUCCGACUCCAUCUCCUGGCCCUUCCUCUUUGA